rnacentral:rRNA from 1 species
UUUUAUUUGAGAGUUUGAUCCUGGCUCAGGAUGAACGCUGGCGGCGUGCCUAACACAUGCAAGUUGAGCGAUUUACUUCGGUAAAGAGCGGCGGACGGGUGAGUAACGCGUGGGUAACCUACCCUGUACACACGGAUAACAUACCGAAAGGUAUGCUAAUACGGGAUAAUAUAUUUGAGAGGCAUCUCUUAAAUAUCAAAGGUGAGCCAGUACAGGAUGGACCCGCGUCUGAUUAGCUAGUUGGUAAGG